rnacentral:rRNA from 1 species
CUUUUAUACACCAAGAAAAACACCCACGUGUGGGUGCCCGACGGUAGUGUAUGAAUAAGCACCGGCUAACUCCGUGCAAGCAGCCGCGGUAAUACGGAGGGUGCAAGCGUUGUCCGGAGUUAUUGGGUUUAAAGGGUGCGUAGGCGGCGCUUUAAGUCAGUGGUGAAAUCCUACAGCUUAACUGUAGAACAGCCAUUGAUACUGAA